UACGAAGGGGGCUAGCGUUGUUCGGAAUUACUGGGCGUAAAGCGCGCGCAGGCGGCCAUUCAAGUCAGGGGUGAAAGCCCAGAGCUCAACUCUGGAACUGCCCUUGAAACUGUAUGGCUUGAGUAUGAGAGAGGUGAGUGGAAUUCCCAGUGUAGAGGUGGAAUUCGUAGAUAUUGGGAAGAACACCGGUGGCGAAGGCGGCUCACUGGCUCAUUACUGACGCUCAGGCGCGACAGCGUGGGGAUCAAACAGG
rnacentral:rRNA from 1 species